rnacentral:rRNA from 1 species
GAGGGAUCAUUACUGAGUUAUCCAAAAACUCCCAACCCUAUGUGAACUUACCACUGUUGCCUCGGCGAGCUGCGCUACCCUGUAGCUACUUUUGUAGCGACUUGGGAGCGCGUUAUAGGCUCGCCAGAGGACCACUAAACUCUGUUUUAUUUUGUAUCUCUGAAUCUUACAACUGAAAUCAGUUAAAACUUUCAACAACGGAUCUCUUGGUUCUGGCAUCGAUGAAGAACGCAGCGAAAUGCGAUAAGUAAUGUGAAUUGCAGAAUUCAGUGAAUCAUCGAAUCUUUGAACGCACAUUGCGCCCAUUAGUAUUCUAGUGGGCAUGCCUAUUCGAGCGUCAUUUCAACCCUUAAGCCUCAGUAGCUUAGCGUUGGGAAUCUACAGGUUACAGCGUAGUUCCUUAAAGGUAGUGGCGGAGUUAGAGCACACUCUAAGCGUAGUACUUGUUUCUCGCUUCUGGUAGUGGCUUUGGCGGCCGGCCGUGAAACCCCCUAUAUUUCUAAUGGUUGACCUCGGAUUAGGUAGGAAUACCCGCUGAACUUAA